AUUGAACGCUGGCGGCAUGCCUUACACAUGCAAGUCGAACGGUAACAGGUCUUCGGAUGCUGACGAGUGGCGAACGGGUGAGUAAUACAUCGGAACGUGCCUAGUAGUGGGGGAUAACUACUCGAAAGAGUGGCUAAUACCGCAUGAGAUCUACGGAUGAAAGCAGGGGAUCGCAAGACCUUGUGCUACUAGAGCGGCCGAUGGCAGAUUAGGUAGUUGGUGGGAUAAAAGCUUACCAAGCCGACGAUCUGUAGCUGGUCUGAGAGGACGAUCAGCCACACUGGGACUGAGAAACGGCCCAGACUCCUACGGGAGGCAGCAGUGGGGAAUUUUGGACAAUGGGCGCAAGCCUGAUCCAGCAAUGCGGCGUGCAGGAUGAAGGCCUUCGGGUUGUAAACUGCUUUUGUACGGAACGAAAAGCCCCGGGUUAAUACCCUGGGGUCAUGACGGUACCGUUAGAAUAAGCACCGGCUAACUACGUGCCAGCAGCCGCCGUAA
rnacentral:rRNA from 1 species